GUGGGGAAUCUUAGACAAUGGGGGCAACCCUGAUCUAGCCAUGCCGCGUGAGUGAUGAAGGCCUUAGGGUUGUAAAGCUCUUUCAGUAGGGAAGAUAAUGACGGUACCUACAGAAGAAGCCCCGGCUAACUUCGUGCCAGCAGCCGCGGUAAUACGAAGGGGGCUAGCGUUGUUCGGAUUUACUGGGCGUAAAGCGCACGUAGGCGGAUUGGUCAGUUAGAGGUGAAAUCCUGGAGCUCAACUCCAGAACUGCCUUUAAUACUGCCAGUCUAGAGUCCAGAAGAGGUGAGUGGAACUCCUAGUGUAGAGGUGGAAUUCGUAGAUAUUAGGAAGAACACCAGUGGCGAAGGCGGCUCACUGGUCUGGUACUGACGCUGAGGUGCGAAAGCGUGGGGAGCAAACAGGAUUAGAUACCCUUGUAGUCC
rnacentral:rRNA from 1 species